UACGGGGGGGGCAAGCGUUGUUCGGAAUUACUGGGCGUAAAGGGCUCGUAGGCGGCCAACUAAGUCGGAUGUGAAAUCCCCAGGCUUAACCUGGGAACUGCAUCCGAUACUGGAUGGCUUGAAUCCGGGAGAGGGAUGCAGAAUUCCAGGUGUAGCGGUGAAAUGCGUAGAUAUCUGGAGGAAUACCGGUGGCGAAGGCGGCAUCCUGGACCGGCAUUGACGCUGAGGCGCGAAAGCCAGGGGAGCAAACAGG
rnacentral:rRNA from 1 species